rnacentral:lncRNA from 13 species
UGAGGAUAGUAGACCUGGGGCAUGUUCAUUACGCACCAAACUGAAGAAAAUGGACUGAAUCAGAGAAUCAGGGACCGCUUGGAUGUGUCAAAUAAGAAAUGCUUAUUUUUGUUUUCCUUUGUGAAACAUUUACGUUGAAAAACAAACCUGGUAUUUUCACAAUGAUCAUGGCGAUUCUGACCACGGGAAAAAAGGUGUCUCUAAUGUUCCUGAGCGGUGUCUGAUGACAAAAGAGGUGAUCUUCAUUCAGUCGGGCAGAAGCACCUUCUUGUGGAUAUUUGAACAAGGAGGUGGCUAUUGGAGAGACUGAGCAUAGGAGGUUUACCGGAAUAAAGAAACUGAAGAUUUCAUUACGGAGUGAACCCCAAAGACCCA